CCUACGGGGGGCAGCAGUGGGGAAUAUUGGACAAUGGGGGCAACCCUGAUCCAGCCAUGCCGCGUGUGUGAAGAAGGCCCUCGGGUUGUAAAGCACUUUCAGUGAGGAAGAACGCCUGGUGGUUAAUACCCAUCAGGAAAGACAUCACUCACAGAAGAAGCACCGGCUAACUCCGUGCCAGCAGCCGCGGUAAUACGGAGGGUGCGAGCGUUAAUCGGAAUUACUGGGCGUAAAGCGCGCGUAGGUGGCUUGAUAAGCCGGUUGUGAAAGCCCCGGGCUCAACCUGGGAACGGCAUCCGGAACUGUCAAGCUAGAGUGCAGGAGAGGAAGGUAGAAUUCCCGGUGUAGCGGUGAAAUGCGUAGAGAUCGGGAGGAAUACCAUUGGCGAAGGCGGCCUUCUGGACUGACACUGACACUGAGGUGCGAAAGCGUGGGUAGCAAACAGGAUUAGAUACCCCGGUAGUC
rnacentral:rRNA from 1 species